rnacentral:rRNA from 1 species
CUUGGCAGUAAACGGUGCACGCUUGGUGUGCGGGGAAUCGACCCCCUGCGUGCCGGAGCUAACGCGUUAAGCGUGCCGCCUGGGGAGUACGGUCGCAAGAUUAAAACUCAAAGAAAUUGACGGGGACCCGCACAAGCGGUGGAGUAUGUGGCUUAAUUCGAUGCAACGCGAAGAACCUUACCUGGGCUUGACAUGUAAUGAACAACAUGUGAAAGCAUGCGACUCUUCGGAGGCGUUACACAGGUGCUGCAUGGCCGUCGUCAGCUCGUGUCGUGAGAUGUUUGGUUAAGUCCAGCAACGAGCGCAACCCCUGUUGCCAGUUACCAGCACGUGAAGGUGGGGACUCUGGCGAGACUGCCCAGAUCAACUGGGAGGAAGGUGGGGACGACGUCAGGUCAGUAUGGCCCUUAUGCCCAGGGCUGCACACGUACUACAAUGCCCAGUACAGAGGGGGCGGAAGCCGCGAGGCGGAGGAAAUCCUAAAAACUGGGCCCAGUUCGGACUGUAGGCUGCAACCCGCCUACACGAAGCCGGAAUCGCUAGUAAUGGCGCAUCAGCUACGGCGCCGUGAAUAAAAUCCCGGGUCUUGCUCACCCCGCCCGUCAAGGGCC